rnacentral:misc_RNA from 1 species
ACAAUGUUGCCGCUGGAAAAAUGGGUUUGUAUUGGCACUUUCCAUUCAAUAUAUGAUUGCGUUUUGUGGUAUUAUUAGUAUUUGGAAUUUUUUUUUUGUUCUAAUGUUACAAUGCUCUUUGCUUACUGCAUUGGUUGUUACAAUGCUAAUUCUAAGUUGAAGACAUUUUGUUGUCCUGAAUUUCUGUUAACACUCUGAAUGCUGAUGCAAAAGUUAACCUCAUUUAAUGCUGAGCAUGUACAAGGAACGAAAGAAAAUAAAAGAAAAGAAAAAUGGAGAAUUGAAUAUUUGCUUGAUGUUUCAAUCAAAUUCUUUGUCAAAUAUUGGUAUAAAAACCCAAUUGCGAUCCUUGUGGUGUCUGCUCUUAAUUUCUAAUGAAGGUCCUUAAGGCUUUAACAUACUAUGUACAAAUUUACAAUGUAAAGAAAAGGUAACUGGUAUGUUCCGAUGCUCUAACUUUAAUCAGUUCUCCGUUAAAAAUGAUUUAAUAUCUUCUUGAUCUUUCUUUUUCUUCUUUGUUAAUCUUAAUGUGUAUAUGUUUCCUAUGCUGUUUAUAUUGACAAUAAAGAUGCUGCAGAUUGCCGAAUAUAAUGCACAUGA